UACGGAGGGUGCAAGCGUUAUCCGGAUUUACUGGGUUUAAAGGGUGCGUAGGCGGGUAGGAAAGUCAGUGGUGAAAUCUUCGGGCUUAACCCGGAAACUGCCAUUGAUACUAUUUAUCUUGAAUACUUUGGAGGUAAGCGGAAUAUGUCAUGUAGCGGUGAAAUGCUUAGAUAUGACAUAGAACACCAAUUGCGAAGGCAGCUUACUACACAGUUAUUGACACUGAGGCACGAAAGCGUGGGGAUCAAACAGG
rnacentral:rRNA from 1 species